rnacentral:rRNA from 1 species
AGCCAGACUCCUACGGGAGGCAGCAGUGGGGGAUAUUGCACAAUGGGGGAAACCCUGAUGCAGCAACGCCGCGUGAGUGAAGAAGGUCUUCGGAUUGUAAAGCUCUGUUCUUGGUGAAGAUAAUGACGGUAGCCAAGGAGAAAGCUCCGGCUAACUACGUGCCAGCAGCCGCGGUAAUACGUAGGGAGCGAGCGUUGUCCGGAUUUACUGGGUGUAAAGGGUGCGCAGGCGGCUCUGCAAGUCAGGCGUGAAAGCUAGGGGCUCAACCCCUAAACUGCGCUGGAAACUGUGGAGCGUGAGUGAAGUAGAGGCAGGCGGAAUUCCCGGUGGAGCGGGGAAAGGCGUAGAUAUUAGGAGGAACACCAGUGGCGAAGGGGGCCUGCUGGACGAUGACUGACGCUGAGGCUCGAAAGCGUGGGGAGCAAACAGGAGUAGAGACCCGGGUAAC